UAAGUGUAAAAACCAAUUCUUUAAACAUUGUCUUUACACAGUAUUUCACCAAAAUGCUCGUCUUUACCCUUGUUCUUGUUCUUGGCGUGAUGUCAGUAAGAUCCGAUAUGUGUGUUAAAGUAUUUUCGGGUCCAGUACCCCCUAAUGCAAAACCUGUUAAUGCUCAAGACUUUGUACUUACCCCUGGCACUAAAGAUGGGACUAUAAAUUACACUCCACCAUGUACCGGCUCAGCUUUAGAGGUGAAUGUUUGUGAUGACGUGACACCAACAGUACUCGUGCCGUCUGUGUACCUUGUGCAGGUGCAUAGGAACGGCGAUGCAAAUACAGCCAUAAUUCUCCACUCACGUUUCUGGUGUCCAAAUUACCCUGGAGCUAUGAAGGUCGUUCCGCUGGCGUCACAACAGCCAGUACCGAAACCUAGUAGAAGGGCAAUAUAUCAAGAGUCAAGUUAAAUGACGAAAAAUUAAAGUACUUCGAGAAUAAAAAGUAAAAGGCAUAA